rnacentral:rRNA from 1 species
AUUGAACGCUGGCGGAAUGCUUUACACAUACAAGUCGAACGGCAGCACGGACUUCGAUCUGGUGGCGAGUGGCGAACGGGUGAGUAAUGUAUCGGAACGUGCCCAGUCGUGGGGGAUAACGUAGUGAAAAUUACGCUAAUACCGCAUACGAUCUAUGGAUGAAAGCGGGGGAUCGCAAGACCUCGCGCGAUUGGAGCGGCCGAAAUCAGGUUAGGUAGUUGGUGGGGUAAAGGCCCACCAAGCCAACGAUCUGUAGCUGGUCUGAGAGGACGACCAGCCACACUCGAACUGAGACACGGUCCAGACUCCUACGGGAGGCAGCAGUGGGGAAUUUUGGACAAUGGGCGAAAGCCUGAUUCAGCCAUUCCGCGUGCAGGAUGAAGGCCCUCGGGUUGUAAACUGCUUUUGUACAGAACGAAAAGGUUUCUACUAAUACUAGGAGCUCAUGACGGUACUGUAAGAAUAAGCACCGGCUAACUACGUGCCAGCCGCCGCCGUAA